ensembl:lncRNA LINC00616 long intergenic non-protein coding RNA 616
ACUAUUUGAAUGUGUGUUGCUCCUUGUGGCAGGUAUACUGUUCCAAUGCCCUGGGAUCUCUGUAGUGGUCGGUACUGUAUUGAUUAUAAAUGGUGAAGUCCUAGUAUCUUGCUAGAGUGAGCUGGCCAGGAUGGUGGAGCUCUACCACCAUUUCACAGGUUAUAGACAGGGGCCACCAGGUUUCAGGAAAGCAGCAAUGACCCCUCAGUAAUAGUUGGAAAGUGUGAUAUGACACUGAGCUUCACUGUGUUGGUGAAGAAGAGCUGCAGUUUGCCUCCACCUCUGAAGAAGCACAAUACACCUUUCUGGGUUACCAAUGGGAUACUUCCCAACAGCUUUGUCAUCACAUACAAUAUUCUCAAACAAGAUCUUAAUGGCAUCUACUUUCUCCAGGAACACAGCCCCUGACCUGUGUGUGUUUGCGUAGAGAAGGCAUGCUAUGUACCCCCUAGGAUAUGAAAGAGAGGAUCCAUUUGCUUCAAAGAGCCCAUCAGCAAGCUGUCCUUCCUGUUUUAUCAGUAAGCAAAGCUGAGAGCAAAUAACAGAUGGGACUGUCCCUUGGUGGUGGCGCAGAGCAUGCAUGAAAUAUAGCACAAUCUUCCUCCAGUGUGUUAUGCUUUUAACAGUGGAAGAUCAGAGCAGGAGAGGUGUGGGCCAGGAUGAAUGACUGUCUCUGAUGAAACAUUCUUCUCUUCUAGCAAGAUUCCUGUAGCAGAUUGAGCUCUGGCAGUUGAUCUCAGUGGCUUGAUAGAGUGUCAUUAUAAAAACGCACCUGGAAGAUUCUGUGGAAAAGACAACCUCAGAAGACCAAGGUGAAUCCAAGGCCUGAUCUGGACUCUUAAUGGGUGGUUAAAUUCUAGUUCCUUUAAAUAAGCAUCAAAGACGCCACAAAACCACAGAUAAAGCUGCCAUAGACAGCUA